UGGACAUUUUUUUAGUUGGAAAAUAUAGUACAUAUUAAGUAUCUUUAUUUGCAAACAUAAAAAAAUAUUCAUAUUCAUUAAUAUAAAUAAUGUUUAUGGUUUUAAAAAAACACAUAAAUGAAAGAUACAAUAGAAUUAUGCUUUCUCUGAAAAAACAAAAAAACGUGUCUAUGAAGAAAUGAUAUUUAAAUACUUCAAACUAGUUGCUUAACUUCUGUAAAAAUUGUCACUAGAAAUUGAUUCUAAGACCAAACCUGCAUAAUAACAUGUACACAUGCACAUAAGUUUAGUCUGAUAUGUAUGCAUGUGUUUAAAUAAAUAAAUGAAUGUGUGUAUAUAUAUAUAUAUAUAUAUAUAUAACUCUCUCUUGAUAUGCAGUAGAGGUACCACUGCUUAUUUUUAUUUCUUGUCUGUGUACAUUUACAUAUACAUAUAUAUAUAUAUAUGAACUCACGUACUCUAGAGCGUGUCUCACUCCAACAAGAAAAGCAGAAAGAGAAUUGGAUGGGAAAGAAAAGACAGCAGCAGAGGGACCGCGCUUCACAAACCCUUGACCUGAUCAGAACCAACAGCAACGCAUGAUCGGCAUGGUGUCAGAAGCAUCCCACAAUAACUCAAGCAUUCUUGCAUAUUUAUAUUCCCAUCCCUAUUAAAAUAACCCUUCAUUUCAUCAAUAAUAAAAACACAUUGAAUAAUAAUAUACUGGACUUCACCGUUUCCUUCUCCUACCCACACCGGCGUC
rnacentral:lncRNA from 1 species